rnacentral:lncRNA from 1 species
UUAAGGGUCAAAAUAAAGCAACCCCAAUACAUUAAGGACCAUUUUGAUUAUUUCCUCUUGCACAUUACUUUACUAUUUAAUAGGAAAGCUAGGCUUCGACGUGUCUGCUUAGAAGGUAUUUACUUUCAAAUCAAGAUUAUAUUCGUUAUUUUACUGCAUCAACAAACACCCACCGCUCUUCUCCUCUCUUUUUUUCUCCCAACAUACUUCAUUAGUUCAUUUCUUCCCUAGCACCGACGAGACCCCUCGCAUUCCCGGUUGUCUUCCUUGCCAUCAUUGAUGGUCCACAGAGAACCAACCUCUUCAUAACUUUCAAUUCACACACAACUUUUUAGAAGAAACCCAACAAAAUCGGCCCAAUUUCAUCCAUCAAAACCCUAACUCAAAAUUAGCCAAAUGAUCUACGAUAUAUACAAAGUUCUGUCUCUACUCCACUUAUUUCUACAAUUCUAAGGUAAAUUUCGCGUUUUGCUUGUGAAUCUAUUUUACAUUUGAUACACUUUCUUCUACUUAUGAUUUUUCACUUCGUCUUUCUAUAUCUCUAUUUGAAAAGAACAUUUAUUCUUUUUUGUCUUUCUGUUUGUUUCAAUAUUAUGCUGGAUUUAGAGGAAAAUUGUGGAAGGCUCAUUUGAUUAUUGAAUUUUUCUGUUGAAACUAUAGGUUGUGGUAAUAAUUUCUAUCUUAAAUCAGACAUUAGUAUUACACUUAGCUACUUUUUCUAUCAUUGCUCCAGUAACUUGUGGAUUAUUUGUAUGCCUAAAGAAAUUGAUUUCAAAGUAGAAACCUAUUUACAGCUUGUUUGGAUGGUUGUUACCCAAUGUAUUGUAUUGUAUUGUUAUCCUAAGACAAUGUUUGUUUUGAUUGUUUAUUUAAAAUGGAUUGUAUUGUAUUGUUAAAUCCAUUGUUCCGGAACAACCAAAAGCACCAUUUUAUGAAACAACCGAUUUGGUGUGGUGCGGUCGUUUCCUAUUUUUAUUUUCUAAUUAUGUCCUUACUUAUUACUCCAUAAUUCUAUUUUAUCAUUUAAUUUUUUUUAUUUUAACUCAAAAUCUCCAACCUAUUGACCUACUUUGUCUUCUUCCAUCUUUUCUAGAGUUGGUUUGCCCCGUUUUUUUUAUUAUCCAAGUCUCCGUUCGAUUCUGACUCUUUUCAUCGUUUUAAUUUUUUUUUUUGGUGUUGAUAAUAUUAGUUAACUUUUUUUUUUUCAGGUUUUUGCUCUUGUUUCCAAGCUACGUAAUUAAUGAUAAAUUAGUAGAAAGAGGUGUAUACGGUCAAAAUCGGGCCUACCCGAUUUUGUUGUUUGAUCGAGACAAGGGAGUUGCAUCGAGGGUAGCCUCGUAAUAAAUCAGACCCGAGCUCGAAGAUGAGACAUCAAAGUGUACGUUGAGACCGAGACCAGCAAGAAUCGAGACCAAGUAUGACCGACUUCGAGGGGAGCAUAAUAACAGAAUGGCGAGAUAUCCGUAAUCGGUCGAAGAUCACGGCGAAAAUCUCGGAACAGAUCAAAUCAAGAGCGGUUAUUGGUACCAAUCAUGGGAUUUAUUUCUGUUAUUAGAAUUGUACCAUAAUUAGGAAUCCUCUAGUAUAUAAGGGGGAGUCCCCAUCAUUUGUAAAUAUAUUACAUUCACGAAUAUCAAGGCAAUAUAAUAUCUCUUAGUUCGGUUCAUCAACUUACCGUUCUUUAAAUUAUUCUUACUUCAUUAUUCUCGAGGGUUCAUCAGCUUGAGGGCAUUGUCCAAGCAUUGGUUUGUUUUACAUUCUUGUCAAUUCGCAUCAUUUAUCUCUAAGUUAAUCAAUCAGUAUUGAGCAAAAUCGUG